rnacentral:rRNA from 1 species
AUAGGGGAGCCGGAGGGAAACCGAGUCUUAAUUGGGCGUUAAGUUGCAGGGUAUAGACCCGAAACCCGGUGAUCUAGCCAUGGGCAGGUUGAAGGUUGGGUAACACUAACUGGAGGACCGAACCGACUAAUGUUGAAAAAUUAGCGGAUGACCUGUGGCUGGGGGUGAAAGGCCAAUCAAACCGGGAGAUAGCUGGUUCUCCCCGAAAGCUAUUUAGGUAGCGCCUCGUGAAUUCAUCUCCGGGGGUAGAGCACUGUUUCGGCUAGGGGGCCAUCCCGGCUUACCAACCCGAUGCAAACUGCGAAUACCGGAGAAUGUUAUCACGGGAGACACACGGCGGGUGCUAACGUCCGUCGUGAAGAGGGAAACAACCCAGACCGCCAGCUAAGGUCCCAAAGUCAUGGUUAAGUGGGAAACGAUGUGGGAAGGCCCAGACAGCCAGGAUGUUGGCUUAGAAGCAGCCAUCAUUUAAAGAAAGCGUAAUAGCUCACUGGUCGAGUCGGCCUGCGCGGAAGAUGUAACGGGGCUAAACCAUGCACCGAAGCUGCGGCAGCGACACUCAGGUGUUGUUGGGUAGGGGAGCGUUCUGUAAGCCUGUGAAGGUGUGUCGUGAGGCAUGCUGGAGGUAUCAGAAGUGCGAAUGCUGACAUAAGUAACGAUAAAGCGGGUGAAAAGCCCGCUCGCCGGAAGACCAAGGGUUCCUGUCCAACGUUAAUCGGGGCAGGGUGAGUCGACCCCUAAGGCGAGGCCGAAAGGCGUAGUCGAUGGGAAACGGGUUAAUAUUCCCGUACUUGGUGUUACUGCGAAGGGGGGACGGAGAAGGCUAUGUUGGCCGGGCGACGGUUGUCCCGGUUUAAGCGUGUAGGUGUGUGUUCCAGGUAAAUCCGGUUCACUUUAACACUGAGGCGUGACGACGAGGCACUACGGUGCUGAAGCAACAAAUGCCCUGCUUCCAGGAAAAGCCUCUAAGCAUCAGGUAACAUCAAAUCGUACCCCAAACCGACACAGGUGGUCAGGUAGAGAAUACCAAGGCGCUUGAGAGAACUCGGGUGAAGGAACUAGGCAAAAUGGUGCCGUAACU